AAAAUCUUAAAUAACGAAAGCCCUACCUUCUCUUUCAUCCUUGCAGCUCCUUGGCUGCGCCAGUGGAUCUAAGCAGUUGCGAUCGU
rnacentral:sRNA from 1 species